UUCCUCUUCCCCAACACACUAUCAAAACAAUCACUACACAUUUCUGAGGUGAUCCUUUUCCUCCCCGAGAGGCUCGCGGAGACACGGCGUGUUAUUUAUUUAUAUCGCUGUGUGAGCCUGACAGUCAGCCGCGGCGGACAAACUGCGUCUUAACGCGGAGAGGUCGGGCUUGUUUGGCUGGAGAAAACGCACCAAAACACACGCGGAAAGACUCCGGUGCUGUCACCCCCCUUCUUUUAUUUCUUGUCAGCUUUUUCUUGCGAUUUAUUUCGUGCUGUCAAACCAGGAACCCGGGACUGAGCCCCUGCUCCGAGGAUGAACUAGAAUUGCGAUCGCGGCUGUGAGGUUGUUUUACUGGAUAUAUUUCGCUGUGGAGGAAAAGAGAUCCGGGAGCGGAGCGGUGCGCAAAAAGCCGAGGUCCGUGCGAUUUUGCUAAAAUGCAUCAUCAACAGCGGAUGGCAGCUUUGGGAACAGACAAGGAACUGAGUGACUUACUAGAUUUCAGCGCGAUGCGAAACAGCGAUUUGAAAAUGUUCCCAACAUCCAUGGUAGUAUAUCUCAUUUUAAGUCCUUUUUUCAUUCAUGUGUCGACUGCUUUUCUGCCCAUGAUUAUGAUUUAGAAAAUGUUUCUAUUUGUCUGAGUGAGUUUCUGGGAUGCUCCAUAUGCGCUCUGCAUCGUGUUGUACAGAAUAUUUCUGAUGCAAAAGGCUCGAUGUGGAAUCAUGAACCUGCAUGACAGUCAGAGAGACAGACAGAUAGGCAGGUAGCCGAAAAGAGAGGAAUGUGUCACAAUUUCUCUCCGCACUCUAAAUGUUCCAGCAGCAGGCUGUUCAAUGCUCAAACUAAAGACUGUUUAAAAAGUUUGUGUCAAAAAGAAAAAGAAAAAAAAGCAAAGCACGGCCUGUGUUGAGAACUUGACCGACAGGAAACCGUGUCCCCGCUCUCGGCCAUGUUUUCUGUGCGCCUCUCCUCCUCUGGGAGCAACUUUGGCCUGAAGAGGAGGAAAAAAAUAUCUGAAACAUCCCAAAAAAAAUAAAAAUAACCCCGGACUGACAUUUAUAUUGUUAUGAAGCUUAGACAGUCAGCAUGAACAUAAAGAUAUCAGAUCAUAUCAACACUACAGAAAUUAUGCUGAAUGAGAUGCACAUGUAUGAAAGAAAAUCACCAAAUAUUCCUGCAAGAUUUAAAAUUCAUAAUGCAAUAAAGAAAUAAGAUCACAGCUGAGGCCUGCUUACACAAUGCAAGUGACUGGAGUGCUUUAUGAAUAUCAUGGCAGGCGCUAUUAACACAUAGUGUCAGAAGAUCUCAGUAUUAAAAGAAUGAGAUGAGUGAUGCUGCACAACAUCGCAAAAUAUAAGAAGUAAACCUUUUAAACUAUAUUGGAAUAUUAAUGCAUUCAACAGAUUGCAUACGAUCACAGCUGAGGCCUUCAUAAAGUAAACACUGGACAGUAACCGACCAUUUAGCAGCAUUAUAGAAAUAAAGAUAUCAAUAGAGAGUUACAUUUAUAAGUUAUUAAAAGAGCAACUAACCUCCACAUUAACCCCCUAAAGCUUCACUAUAGUAAUAAACACUACACUACUGAUAGAGAUGAGAAUAUUUCAGGAUUGUUCUUGUGAUAUUUUUUAACAAAGGACAUACAAUAAGAACACUGUUCAGCCAAAAUUGAGAGCCACAGACUUAUAAUAUUCCUCUAUAGCUAUAAUUGAAUUACAAUAUGUGCUCUAUUGGCUGUGUUGGCCUGUUUUAUAUCAUACAGACAUAAGGAACCUAUAGAAGUAUUAAAUGUAUAUGAGAACCAUCAUUAGUGGUACACACAAUCUCUCCAGUCAGUAUGACAACAUUAUAGGAAUUUUGAAAUGUCAUUCAUUAAAAAUAAAAUAAAAUAUGACAAUAAUAUUCAUGAUUGAGAACCACAGACACAUAUCAAGUCUCUAUAAGAAUAUUGCAAUGCUAUAAAUAUAUUUUUUAAACAAUACAUGCAGUAAGCCUCCUGUUAAAUACUGUGAAAUGCUCUUUUUUAAUAUUAUAGGUGGCAAAAAUACCAUUAAAUCACCAUAAAUCUGCUCAUUAA